UACGGGGGGGGGUAAGCGUUGUUCGGAAUUACUGGGCGUAAAGGGCACGUAGGCGGCCAACUAAGUCAUACGUGAAAUCCCUCAGCUUAACUGGGGAACUGCGUGUGAUACUGGAUGGCUUGGAUUUGGGAGAGGGAUGCAGAAUUCCAGGUGUAGCGGUGAAAUGCGUAGAUAUCUGGAGGAAUACCGGUGGCGAAGGCGGCAUCCUGGACCGACAUUGACGCUGAACGACGAAAGCUAGGGAGCGAAACGGG
rnacentral:rRNA from 1 species